AACUGAAGAGUUUGAUCAUGGCUCAGAUUGAACGCUGGCGGCAGGCCUAACACAUGCAAGUCGAGCKGAUGAAGGGAGCUUGCUCCUGGAUUCAGCGGCGGACGGGUGAGUAAUGCCUAGGAAUCUGCCUGGUAGUGGGGGAUAACGUCCGGAAACGGGCGCUAAUACCGCAUACGUCCUGAGGGAGAAAGUGGGGGAUCUUCGGACCUCACGCUAUCAGAUGAGCCUAGGUCGGAUUAGCUAGUUGGUGGGGUA
rnacentral:rRNA from 1 species